rnacentral:misc_RNA from 1 species
GACUGUGAUAUUAAUAAAUGUUAUCAAUAAGAACUCUUGGCCUAUUCAUACUAUGUUGGUCUUGUUGAAAUCAAUAUUUACACAUUGGGCAUAAUUAGUCUUUUAAUAACACUUGUGUUUAAGAACUACCCUGUGAACUGAAUGAACCUUUUGGAAUUCCCAUUACAGUUACUGAAAAUGUAUUAAUCAUAUUUGGAUUGUAUUUUUGCACUGCAAGCCAAGCAAUUUUUGAAGUAGUGAAAAUAUCAAGCUUUAUCCAGUAUAUAGCAUUUAUCUCUGUUCAUCACCAAGUUCUGUGGAAAUACCGACCUACAAUUAUGUGUUGUGAUUGUUCUAUCUCUACAUUUUACAUGUACCGUACAUUGUAGUUUCAAUUUUUUAUAAGAUCUCUCAAUAUAGUCAUAUUGACCACUAUAUAAAUGUGUUACAAUUAUAAUUUAAUAGAAUAUUCAAAUAAAAGUCAAAUCU